UACGAAGGGGGCUAGCGUUGCUCGGAAUCACUGGGCGUAAAGGGCGCGUAGGCGGUCCUGAUCGUCGGAUGUGAAAGGCCUGGGCUCAACCUGGGAACUGCAUCCGAUACGGCGGGACUGGAGUGUGGGAGAGGUUGGUGGAAUUCCCAGUGUAGAGGUGAAAUUCGUAGAUAUUGGGAAGAACACCGGUGGCGAAGGCGGCCAACUGGACCACAACUGACGCUGAGACGCGAAAGCGUGGGGAGCAAACAGG
rnacentral:rRNA from 1 species